UACGAAGGGGGCUAGCGUUGUUCGGAAUUACUGGGCGUAAAGCGCACGUAGGCGGAUCGUUAAGUUAGAGGUGAAAUCCCAGGGCUCAACUCUGGAACUGCCUUUAAUACUGGCGAUCUUGAGUCCGAGAGAGGUGAGUGGAACUCCUAGUGUAGAGGUGGAAUUCGUAGAUAUUAGGAAGAACACCAGUGGCGAAGGCGACUCGCUGGACAAGUAUUGACGCUGAGGUGCGAAAGCGUGGGGAGCAAACAGG
rnacentral:rRNA from 1 species